GGGCUCGCUUUGGCAGCACAUAUACUAAAAUUGGAACGAAACACAGAUUAGCAUGGCCCCUGUGCAAGGAUGACAUACAAACUCAUGAAGCAUUCCAUAUUUUU